GCGCACCAGUCGCGAAAUCUCUCCAAUGUGUGAAAACAUGAGAGGGGUAUUCCAAGUUCCCUUGUUAUGCAAGGGAUUUUCUUUGGUCCAAGACGCCAAAGGAAUAAGAGCUGGGUAAGACCGGUGCCAGCCGCCGCGGUAACACCGGCAGCGUCGAGUGGUGGGCCACUAUUAUUGGGCCUAAAGCGUUCGUAGCCGGGCGAGGUAAGUUGCUCUGGUAAAUCCCAUAACUUAAUUAUGGGGCUUCAGAACAUACUGCCUGCCG
rnacentral:rRNA from 1 species